GUAUAAUCAUCAGUCAGACUCUCAUCUGAUCAUCUUCUGAAGGAGACGCAGCUUACAAAUGGCUUUCAGAUCCGGGUUUCUAACCGCUCUAAAAGUUAUAAAUAAUGGUCAAACUAAUCAUCUUGUUUGAGCUGCUUUUCCUGAGUAAAUCUACUCAACCCUACAAUGAGACUCCAUUGAUGUGCUUGAGCUGUUAGAUGGACAUUUAUGUUCUUAGCAGAUGUUUUAUCAUCCAAACUAUUUUCUAGAAAGUUCACAGAGAGUGUAAGUGUCAAAUACUAGAAUCUGUAGCUCUAAUGUGAUUUAAUGAAUAUGAGAAGAAUGAAGCUGAUGCUGUGAAAGUGCUGGAUUGAGUUACUAAAGAUCAGUGAAGUAAACAAGAGCCGCACAAAUCUGAUGUUCCUGCAGGUUAUUGGGUGAAGUGUGGAGCUGAUGAGUUUUGAUUUCUGUUUUCUGUAGAGUUUUCAGUCUCUCUCAGCACCUCCUGAAUCUACAGACGUAAAUGAUGAUCUCUUCAGUUAUCUCUUCUCUUCUGAUGAUCUGAGAGAAUCUGUCCAUCAACUGAGAGACAAACUGGAGUAUUUCUGCAAAGAGCAGCUCAAGAAGAUCUCAGACAGAGUCACACUCACAUUCACCAACAUUGAUCACUGGACCAGGAAGGACUUCCUACAAUAUUCCCAUCGGCUCACUCUGGAUCUGAACACAGUGAAUGAACUCCUCCGUCUGUCUGAGAACAACAGAGUGAUGACUGCCACUGUCACGGAUCAGUCGUAUCCUGAUCAUCCAGACAGAUUUGAUGUGUGGCAGGUGUUGUGUAGAGAGAGUGUGUAUGGACGCUGUUACUGGGAGCUGGAGUGGAGAUUAUGGUGUGUGUAUAUCUGUGUCAUAUAAGAGCAUCAGCAGGAAGGGACGGGGUAAAGAGUGUUUGUUUGGACGUAAUGAUCAGUCCUGGAGUUUGUUCUGCUCUCCCUCCAGAUAUUCAUUCAUACAUAAUAACAUAAAGACUGUUCUCUCCGUGAAGCCCAUCAGCAGUAGAAUAGGAGUGUUUGUGGAUCACAGUGCAGGAACUCUGUCCUUCUACAGCGUCUCUGACACAAUGAGCCUCAUCCACACAGUCCAGACCACAUUCACUCAGACACUCUAUCCUGGGUUUUAUGUUGGUUCUGGGUUUUGGGUUUCUUUGGGAUCAUCAGUGAAACUGUGUUGAUGAAUCAGAAUAGACUGACAAGAGAUUCUACCCAUAAUGCUUUGAGCUGCAUGAUGAAUCAGUAACAGUAGAUGUUAUAUAGUCUCUUCUUUUCUCUUCAUCACAUUAAUACUGCAGCUGAACUUCUGUCAGUGAAAUAACAGUCAGAAUAAAUGUGUGUAAUAAAUCCUCA